ensembl:lncRNA
CUCCAUCCACCAGGGACAGGCUGCAGGCUCCAUUUCCCACUGGACUGGGCGCUUCAUGCCCGCCCCUCCAGCCUGUUGUAAAGAUGGGGCGGGUCCUGGGCCAGGUCGGCCUCUUGGAGCACAGGCUCCAUGGACUGGGGGUCAGCAGCUCGUCUUCUCAGCUGAACCGUGGCAAGGCAAAGCUGCUGGGGCUUCUGAAGCUUCCAGUCUCCUGACCCAGUGGACUUCUCCCCUCAGGGCCUAGAGGGUCAGAGGGAGCCGAACACCCUGCCCCAGACCACUGUAUCUCUUCCUUCAUCUCACACCUGAGGCACGAGGGUGGGGGGCGGUGCAGCAAGCCUCUCUCUUCAGGGCAGGGAGCUCGGGAACCUGCUUCACACCCCCUCAGCCAAGUGGCUCUGUGGCCUCAAGGCUCCUUUUGACCUCAAUCAGCCUUAACCAGGAGCACCUGGCUGGCUCACGGGCCCUGGAGCCUUGGCGUGAGGGAGGACCCCCAUCUGCUGGUGACUGUCAGCAUCACAGCCUCAGGGGAGCUGUGGGUCCCCCUCGCUGGCUCCCACCAAGGUGCCCAGGAAGAUGCGCCGACCCCCAGGCACGCUGCUCUUGGGUUUGGUGCGCAGUGCGCACGGGGCCCUGGAUCCCGAGCGGACCACGCCCAGGCCUGGGUCUCAGCGGUGUCUGCUUCCCCUCAGACCUCGUCCAAGUCCUAGUGUCUCCACCACGGUCCCCGCUGGGCUCUCACUUGUCCCGGGAAUUCGAGCCGGCUCUCGUUCCGUGUGCCGUGGCCCCAGGGGUCUGUGCCACUCCGUUCCCUGAUCCCUGCAGCCAGCACCACCCUCCUCUUGGGUCCAGCGGACGCAGGUGGCCAGGUUUAACAGGAUCUGCUCACCCCUGGAGGCUGUGCAUUUCUGGAGCCCGUCUCCCCUCCCCUAGCCGUGACCAAGUGCCAGGCACAGCCUGAUGAGCAGAAAAACCACCAGAGAUGCGGCUAAAGCAGCCUCCAGCCCCCAUGGUGCCUGUGGUUCAGGGUCGGCCCAGGCCCGGAAGGCUGAUUUCAGGGGUCGCUAUAGCCAUGGUCCUCGACCUCAGUGGGCUUUCAGCUUGGGGGGACGUGCAGAGCUUGUCGACAACGCUGGUGGCCCAGACCCAGCUCCAGGGAUCUCCACCUGGCGGACGUGGGGGUGGAGGCCACGAAUCCGCCUUAACCACCAGCCACGUGACUCGGGGCGGGUGAGUGGACCUCCCCUCAGGAGACACAGCGGUAGCUGACUUCUCUCCUCACCAGAGGUAGGAAGAUGGGGACAGUGAUCAUACCCUUGGACACGCAAGGAACCGAGCUGAGGUCGGUGACCAGCUCAAGGUCACACGGACAAGAAGGAGCAGAUCUGAAAUUUAACCCAGUCCUGGUGACCCCUGACCCGGAACUUUUAAACUUACACUUCUCAUACAGGCUACUUGCAGUAACUAAGAAAACUUCGUGAAUCUUCUAAGGCCCAACAUGGAGAUCAGGGGAGGAGACCGAUCAGGGUCUGCAAGCGUCCUCUGUGUUCCCUCCUCUUCCAGGAAGCCCUCCCUAAGGCCCAGGCUGGAUGAGGGGUCCCACCUCUAUGCUCUCAAGGACCCAAGGUUGGCCUCUGCUCCAGCCUCUUACAUUUCCCAAAUGGUCUGCUUUCUCCUCCAUCUACUCUUGUGCCUCCCCCACUGUGAACCCCUCCACAGGCAGGCCUGUGUGAAAUUCACCUCUGCGUGCCCAGACCGGAGGUCUGCCAAGGCUGAUGAGCUGGAUCCACUGAUGUUGCCUCAUUAGGAGGUUCUGCUGUGUUUGCUUCCCAGACAGAGAAAGCGUUUAAGUGAGAAGACAGAACUUUGGGCUCUUCCUUCUACCUCUCUGCAAGAUUUGGAUGGGGGCAAAGACCAUUUUGGGGCCUCCUAGAUCUACCACCCCAAAUCCAAGAAAAUGGGUCUCUCACCUCCCAUCAAAAUUCACCUGUUCUCAUGCCCAUCCUCUUGCGUGCGGGCCCUGGUAUCUAACUCUGCCAGGAU